CGGUGGGUAUGCAAGUGGCCAAAGCACCGUGACUGUAAAUCACGGGUCGGAAGACUUCGCAGGUUCAAAUCCAUGCCCCACCGA
rnacentral:tRNA from 1 species